AUUUCAGGUGAUGGUGGCAGUGUCCCAGAGAAGGGAAAGCAUGGCAUUCUGGGAGCACAGGGCCAGGAGCACCCGGGUUUGAAUGUCAGCUCCCCGUUUUCCAGCCCUUGGACGUGUUACUUGUCUGGACAUCAGCCUCAGAAUAAUAAUAGCCCUGAGCUUCAGGUUAAGGAAAUCCUCUUAUGAGACAGAGCCCAGCUCCCUCCUGUAGACGCUGAAAUUCCAGACACUGGACUUCCCAGUCUCCCUUGCCACUAGAUAUGGACACAUGAUCAAGAUUCCACCAAUCAGAUGGUCUUUGAAUCUGCUAGUGACAAAAAGAAAGGAACAUGCCAAAUCUAUUCUGGCAGAUUUAAGACACAAUGGCAGCUACGUCCAGUUCCCAGAGGCAGCAGGGCCAGUGGUUCUAGCAUCGGCAUCCAAGAACACUUGCUGAUGGUGCAGAUGGUGUGAGCUGCAGUGUCCAGCAUCUUGGCGUUUGGUCUGCACACCUAUCUCCUCAUGACUGCAAUAUGGCUGCUGAAACUCCAGGCAUGAUGACCCAAUUCAAGGCACAAAGAAAAGAAAAGAAAAGAAGAGUGAUUUCAGCACCUCUCCUUCUUUUAUGUCUGUCCCUUUUA